rnacentral:rRNA from 1 species
AGCGAACGCUGGCGGCAGGCCUAACACAUGCAAGUCGAACGAACCCUUCGGGGUUAGUGGCGGACGGGUGAGUAACACGUGGGAACGUGCCUUUAGGUUCGGAAUAACUCAGGGAAACUUGUGCUAAUACCGAAUGUAACCUUCGGGGGAAAGAUUUAUCGCCUUUAGAGCGGCCCGCGUCUGAUUAGCUAGUUGGUGAGGUAAUGGCUCACCAAGGCUACGAUCAGUAGCUGGUCUGAGAGGAUGACCAGCCACAUUGGGACUGAGACACGGCCCAAACUCCUACGGGAGGCAGCAGUGGGGAAUCUUGCGCAAUGGGCGAAAGCCUGACGCAGCCAUGCCGCGUGGAUGAUGAAGGUCUUAGGAUUGUAAAAUCCUUUCACCGGUGAAGAUAAUGACUGUAGCCGGAGAAGAAGCCCCGGCUAACUUCGUGCCAGCCGCCGCAGUAAAAC